GAGGGAUUGGAAAGCUGGGGUUGUAGCACAGCCUGAGAAGACAUCUGGUCAUCUUAACUGGGAGAGGGUGAGAGCGGCUGCUUGCACUCGGUUACUGACCCGGGAUAAUCCACGGCGCAUCCUCUCCUCUGCGCGGUGCAGUGAGAAAUGGAGUAGCCAGCAGAGGGCAAUGAAGCAGAAACUGGGAGCUAUAAUAGAGCA